rnacentral:rRNA from 1 species
ACAACCGAGGUGCAAAGGCUGUCGCUGACCCUCAAAGGUUGUGCACGCCCGAGCGCUCUCACACAAUCCAUCUCACCUUUGUGCAUCACCGCGUGGGUCCCCUUUGCGGGAGGGCUCGCGUUUUCACAUAAUAACUCGAUACAGUGUAGAAUGCUUCUUUUGCGGUCACACGCAAUCAAUACAACUUUCAACAACGGAUCUCUUGGCUCUCGCAUCGAUGAAGAACGCAGCGAAAUGCGAUACGUAAUGUGAAUUGCAGAAUUCAGUGAAUCAUCGAAUCUUUGAACGCACCUUGCGCCCCUUGGCAUUCCGAGGGGCACACCCGUUUGAGUGUCGUGAAUUCUUCAAAACCCUUUUUUCUUCGAACCAUCGUGGUCGGGAAAAGGAUUUUUGGACUUGGAGGUUUAAUGCUCGCCCUUUCUUUUGAAAGCGAGCUCCUCUCAAAUGAAUUAGUGGGGUCCGCUUUUGCUGAUCCUUGACGUGAUAAAAUGUUUCUACGUUUUGGGUUUAGCACUGUCGCUUNNNGCCUGCUCCUAACCCGUCUCAUUGACAAUGAUGGUGCUCUGGUCACUGCCGUCUACAUCGGCGGGAGGCUGGACCCACAAAAAGAAAAANCUUGA